rnacentral:rRNA from 1 species
AGGACAAACGCUGGCGGCGUGCCUAAGACAUGCAAGUCGGACGGGAGGCUUCGGCCUCUAGUGGCGGACGGGUGAGGAACGCGUGGAGAACCUGCCCCGGGGUGGGGGAUACCCGCCAGAAAUGGCGGUUAAGACCGCAUACGAAUGCACCGUGCAGGCGGUGUAGGGAAAGCAGCGAUGUGCCCUGGGAGGGCUCCGCGUCGGAUUAGCUAGUUGGUGGGGUAACGGCCUACCAAGGCGACGAUCCGUAGCUGGUCUGAGAGGACGGCCAGCCACACUGGGACUGAGACACGGCCCAGACUCCUACGGGAGGCAGCAGUGGGGAAUCUUGCGCAAUGCGCGAAAGCGUGACGCAGCAACGCCGCGUGGGGGAAGAAGGCUUUCGGGUUGUAAACCCCUUUCAGUUGGGACGAAGCUUCGCCGGUGAUAGCCGGCCGGAGUGACGGUACCUUCACAAGAAGCACCGGCUAACUACGUGCCAGCAGCCGC